CUGGCUAAGGGGGGUUGGGUCUAGUUCCCCUUUGUAAGUACAAAUGCUGGGCUUUGCACACAAUGGUAAGAGGUUGCUGCCCCUACAUGCACUGUGCGUGUAUGGAGUUAUUUAUCCAGGCGUGGACGGGGCAGAGUGGAGGAGGCACAAUGGGGAUUGCACUGAUUCAUCACAUGCUUCUAUCGGGUCCAGCUCACAGCCAAAGUACAGAGCAAAGAUUGACCUCGUUGGCUUGCCAGCCACCAGCAGGGGCAUGAGAAGUGCUGGCAUGCUGGCACAGCCUCUGGGGAAAGCAGUUUGGCCACAUGUAUUCAGGUCUACCAAUUUUACUACACUCUAACCUGGGAAUUCCAUUUCUUGAGACUGUCUAAAGAAUCCAUCCUGGGCGUGAGGAGUGGCAGUGGCCAGGCAGCCCAGUUUUGCAAAGGCUCUCAGCGCGCCGUGGCCCACAGGCACCCGGCACGUGCCCUCCCUGCCACCAGGAUGCCCAAGAGGAAGGUCAGCUCUGCUGAAGGAGCCGCCAAGGAAGAGCCCAAGAGGAGAUCGGCAUGGUUGUCAGCUAAACGUCCUGUGAAAGUGGAAGCGAAGCCAAAAAAGGCAGCAGCGAAGGAUAAAUCUUCAGACAAAAAAGUGCAAACAAAAGGGAAAAGGGGAGCAAAGGGAAAACAGGCCGAAGUGGUUAACCAAGAAACUAAAGAAGAUUUACCUGCAGAAAAUGGGGAAACGAAAACUGAGGAGAGUCCAGCCUCUGAUGAAGCAGGAAAGAAAGAAGCCAAGUCUGAUUAAUAUCAUAUACCAUGUCUUAUCAGUGGUCCCUGUCUCCCUUCUUGUACAAUCCAGAGGAAUAUUUUUAUCAACUAUUUUGUAAAUGCAAGUUUUUUAGUAGCUCUAGAAACAUUUUUAAGGAGGAGGAAAUCCCACUUCAUCCCAUUUUUUAAGUGUAAAUGCUUUUUUUUUAAGAGGUGAAAUCAUUUGUGGGUUGUUUAUUUUUUUGGUACAACCAGAAAAUAGUGUGGGAUAUUGAAUUAUGGGAGGCUUUGACUGUCUCGGGUGUCAGCUUAACAUUCCAUAGAUGAGGGGUUAGUUUUUAUAUCCUAUAAUACAAAGCAUAUUAAAUGGCAAUAUGGAGUCAGUCCUGCAUUUAAUGUCUUGAACAUUUUGAAUUACUUCUAUUCCCAUGCUGUUUUUUAGUAGAAUUGUUUCCUAAAGAAAAUCACUCUUUGAUCAUGGCUCUCCGUGUCAGAACUGUGUGCACUCUGUAACAUCUUUGGUUGUGGUAGUCCUGUUUUCCUGAUAACUUUGUUACUGUGCUGUGAAAGAUUACAAAUUUGAAUAUGUAGUGUACGUGCUAUUCAGUCAUGAACUGGUGGGCCGUAUGUAACAGCUGACCAACAUGUGAAGAUACUGGUACUUGAUAGCCUCUUAAGGAAAAUAUGCUUCCAAAUUUUAAGCUGGAAAGUCACUGGAAUAACUUUAAAAAAGAAUUACAAUACAUGGCUUUUUAGAAUUUCGUUACGUAUGUUAAGAAUUGCAUACAAAUUGAAACGUGUACUGAUCCUCAGCCGAUAAAAUCUCAAUUAUGAAAAUA